GACGAACGCUGGCGGCGUGCCUAAUACAUGCAAGUCGAGCGGACCUCUUCGGAGGUCAGCGGCGGACGGGUGAGUAACACGUGGGCAACCUGCCUGUAAGACUGGGAUAACUCCGGGAAACCGGAGCUAAUACCGGAUAACUUUUCGAACCGCAUGGUUCGGAGAUAAAAGACGGUUAUGCUGUCACUUACAGAUGGGCCCGCGGCGCAUUAGCUAGUUGGUGAGGUAAUGGCUCACCAAGGCGACGAUGCGUAGCCGACCUGAGAGGGUGAUCGGCCACACUGGGACUGAGACACGGCCCAGACUCCUACGGGAGGCAGCAGUAGGGAAUCUUCCGCAAUGGACGAAAGUCUGACGGAGCAACGCCGCGUGAGUGAUGAAGGCUUUCGGGUCGUAAAACUCUGUUGUUAGGGAAGAACAAGUGCUAGUUGAAUAAGCUGGCACCUUGACGGUACCUAACCAGAAAGCCACGGCUAACUACGUGCCAGCAGCCGCAGUAAAAC
rnacentral:rRNA from 1 species